AGGAGCCGUAUGAGGUAAAACUCUCAUGUACGGUUCUGGAUGGGAGGGGAUGGAGGCGACUCUAU
rnacentral:ncRNA from 1 species